AACGAACGCUGGCGGCAUGCCUAACACAUGCAAGUCGAACGAGACCUUCGGGUCUAGUGGCGCACGGGUGCGUAACGCGUGGGAACCUGCCCUUAGGUUCGGAAUAACUCCCCGAAAGGGGUGCUAAUACCGGAUAAUGUCUUCGGACCAAAGAUUUAUCGCCUUUGGAUGGGCCCGCGUUGGAUUAGCUAGUUGGUAGGGUAAAAGCCUACCAAGGCGACGAUCCAUAGCUGGCCUGAGAGGAUGAUCAGCCACACUGGGACUGAGACACGGCCCAGACUCCUACGGGAGGCAGCAGUGGGGAAUAUUGGACAAUGGGCGAAAGCCUGAUCCAGCAAUGCCGCGUGAGUGAUGAAGGCCUUAGGGUUGUAAAGCGCUUUUACCCGGGAUGAUAAUGACAGUACCGGGAGAAUAAGCGCCGGCUAACUCCGUG
rnacentral:rRNA from 1 species